rnacentral:rRNA from 1 species
CCAUGAAGCUGGAUUCGCUAGUAAUCGCGCAUCAGCCACGGCGCGGUGAAUACGUUCCCGGGCCUUGUACACACCGCCCGUCAAGCCAUGGAAGCCGAGAGUGCCUGAAGUGCGUGAGCGCAAGCAGCGCCCUAAGGUAAAACCGGUGACUGGGGCUAAGUCGUAACAAGGUAAC